AUUGAACGCUGGCGGCAUGCCUUACACAUGCAAGUCGAACGGUAACAGGUCUUCGGAUGCUGACGGGUGGCGAACGGGUGAGUAAUACAUCGGAACGUGCCCGAUCGUGGGGGAUAACGGAGCGAAAGCUUUGCUAAUACCGCAUACGAUCUACGGAUGAAAGCAGGGGACCGCAAGGCCUUGCGCGAACGGAGCGGCCGAUGGCAGAUUAGGUAGGUGGUGGGAUAAAAGCUUACCAAGCCGACGACCUGUAGCUGGUCUGAGAGGACGACCAGCCACACUGGGACUGAGACACGGCCCAGACUCCUACGGGAGGCAGCAGUGGGGAAUUUUGGACAAUGGGCGCAAGCCUGAUCCAGCAAUGCCGCGUGCAGGAUGAAGGCCUUAGGGUUGUAAACUGCUUUUGUACGGAACGAAAAGGCUCUGGUUAAUACCUGGGGCUCAUGACGGUACCGUAAGAAUAAGCACCGGCUAACUACGUGCCAGCCGCCGCAGUAACAC
rnacentral:rRNA from 1 species